rnacentral:rRNA from 1 species
GACGAACGCUGGCGGCGUGCUUAACACAUGCAAGUCGAACGGAAAGGCCCUGCUUUUGUGGGGUGCUCGAGUGGCGAACGGGUGAGUAACACGUGAGUAACCUGCCCUUGACUUUGGGAUAACUUCAGGAAACUGGGGCUAAUACCGGAUAGGAGCUCCUGCUGCAUGGUGGGGGUUGGAAAGUUUCGGCGGUUGGGGAUGGACUCGCGGCUUAUCAGCUUGUUGGUGGGGUAGUGGCUUACCAAGGCAUUGACGGGUAGCCGGCCUGGGAGGGUGACCGGCCACAUUGGGACUGAGAUACGGCCCAGACUCCUACGGGAGGCAGCAGUGGGGAAUAGUGCACAAUGGGCGGAAGCCUGAUGCAGCAACGCCGCGUGCGGGAUGACGGCCUUCGGGUAGUAAACCGCUUUCGCCUGUGACGAAGCGUGAGUGACGGUAAUGGGUAAAGAAGCACCGGCUAACUACGU